rnacentral:rRNA from 1 species
UGGGGAAUAUUGCACAAUGGGGGAAACCCUGAUGCAGCGACGCCGCGUGAAGGAAGAAGUAUUUCGGUAUGUAAACUUCUAUCAGCAGGGAAGAAAAUGACGGUACCUGACUAAGAAGCCCCGGCUAACUACGUGCCAGCAGCCGCGGUAAUACGUAGGGGGCAAGCGUUAUCCGGAUUUACUGGGUGUAAAGGGAGCGUAGGCGGUUUAGCAAGUCAGAAGUGAAAGCCCGGGGCUCAACUCCGGGACUGCUUUUGAAACUGUUGAACUAGAUUGCAGGAGAGGUAAGUGGAAUUCCUAGUG